rnacentral:misc_RNA from 1 species
GCUUCUGCUGGGACUGGGAGGAGCCACCACCACCACCAGCACCACCACCAUCACCAGUAGCUUCCGUGCUUAUAAAUAGAGGCACCCGCCAGCCAUAUACCCAGCAUCUCGUACACAACUUUCUUGGAUCUUUCUCCCAGUAUUAUACUCUCUUUCUUCUUCGAUCUUUACCCUCUUCCUCUAAUCUUUAAAGAUGUCUCCUAACGCAACAAUGGAACCUCCCAUGGACUCCAAAGCCAGGGCAUAUGUGACUUUCUUGGCUGGCAAUGGGGAUUAUGUGAAGGGUGUGGUAGGCUUAGCCAAGGGUUUAAGGAAGACAAAAACUGCAUACCCUCUUGUGGUUGCUGUUUUACCUGACGUCCCAGAGGAGCACCGCCAGAUUCUUGAAUCUCAGGGCUGUAUUGUCCGUGAGAUUGAGCCCGUGUACCCACCGGAGAGCCAGACCCAGUUUGCCAUGGCUUAUUAUGUGAUUAACUACUCAAAGCUGCGUAUUUGGGAGUUUGUUGAGUAUGAAAAGAUGAUAUAUUUGGAUGGAGAUAUACAAGUCUUUGAGAAUAUUGAUCACCUAUUCGAUUCACCAAAUGGGUAUUUCUAUGCUGUUAUGGAUUGUUUCUGCGAGAGGAAUUGGAGGUUCUCUCCACAAUACAAGAUUGGUUAUUGCCAACAGCGUCCUGAAAGGGUUCAAUGGCCAAAGGAGAUGGGCUCUCCGCCUCCUCCCUACUUCAAUGCUGGUAUGUUUGUGUUUGAGCCUAAUCUUUUGACCUACUCUGAUCUCUUGGAGACCCUCAAAGUCACCCCUACAACUUCUUUUGCUGAGCAGGACUUUCUGAACAUGUACUUCAAGGAUGUGUACAAGCCAAUCCCUCCAGAGUACAAUCUUGUUUUGGCUAUGCUUUGGCGCCACCCUGAAAAUGUGGAGUUCGACAAAGUUAAAGUUGUCCAUUAUUGUGCAGAUGGUGGAAAGCCAUGGAGGUACACAGGGAAAGAAGAGAACAUGGACAGAGAGGACAUAAAGCUGCUGAUGAAGAAAUGGUGGGAUAUAUAUGAGGAUGAGUCAUUGCACUACAAGAAUGCUACGGCUGAUCAUGGAAAACUUGGCUCCAUAAUUGCUGCACUGACUGAGGAAGAAGUGGUUGAUCACCAGAGAAGUGCUCCAUCUGCUGCUUAAUUAAAAAUAUACAUUAAUUCUAAUUACUAUAGACAAUAGUACUUAGUUCUUGAGCAGUAGAGUGCAUGUUUUAAGGUAUGAUGUACUAGUGGCUUGUGUUGUGUUAAUUUAUACAUGGUAAUUGCAACCUUGGCACCUAAAAUAAUCCAUGUAAUGUAUUAAUCAUCAAGUUUGAUUAUUAUUAUUAUUAUUAU